UACGGAGGGUGCGAGCGUUGCUCGGAAUCAUUGGGCGUAAAGCGUACGCAGGCUGUCUCGUAAGUCGGGUGUGAAAGCCCGGGGCUCAACCCCGGAAUUGCGCCCGAGACUGCGGGGCUUGAAUGCGGGAGAGGGAAGCGGAAUUCCUGGUGUAGAGGUGAAAUUCGUAGAUAUCAGGAGGAACACCGGUGGCGAAAGCGGCUUCCUGGCCCGACAUUGACGCUCAUGUACGAGAGCGUGGGGAGCAAACAGG
rnacentral:rRNA from 1 species